GAGGAGUUGGUGAACAGCAGGAUGGAUGGGAUGUCAGUCAGCUGUGCCCCUGGCUACCCCUGUGCUUGAACAGUGGACUGUGAGUGGCGGCGUCAUGCAGAAGGAGCACAGGGUCCCAGGCCAGCAUCACUAUCCAGGAGCUUCAGGCAUGCUCCGUGUACCAACAUGGGAUCACGAAUCACAUCGCCUCAGGCCAAGAAAGCCAUUUUAUAGCGAAAGAGCCUUAGGAUCUGCUGGAUUAGAGCCUGUUUCCCAGGUAGGAACGCUUCCACGAGGGCACUCCUGCUGGUUGCAGGAAGGAUACCUCUGCUGAGCCUGAAUCUGCAAAGACCACCAGGUUACUCUCAGCUCCUCAUACUGGUGGACCAGCAGGCCACAAAGGAGGGGAUACUUGAUCCUGAUAAACGGUUAUGCUUGUUUGCUGAUGGAAAUGAUCCAGAAGAGAAGGACAAGUUGACGAUUGAGAGGGUUAAUGUCAGAGGGAAGAAAGCGUUAAAAUGGUCGCGUCACAACAUCUUGAUUUGUCAUUGAAGGAGAAGGAGUCUGGAAGGACGCUGACAACGGGUGGUGGUCAGGAAGGAAAACCCAGUGCCUGUGGCCCAGAGGCUGGAGGAGGAACUUCAAGGAGGGAUGUUCAGCUCCCUGUGGACCCCCAUUUGUUCAUCCAUACAAUGAUGCUCUGAGGAGCACACAAGGAAGGUGCAAAUUUGAUAAAAUGUGCAUGAUGUAAGGAGCAUAAACCCCCUCAGGAAAGAGUUGCUGCCUUUUCACUAAUGUAUCCCUGAGCUGCACAGAGCAGCCCUGGGGGACUGG
rnacentral:lncRNA from 1 species